UACGGAGGGUGCAAGCGUUAAUCGGAAUUACUGGGCGUAAAGCGUGCGUAGGCGGUUCGUUAAGUCUGCUGUGAAAGCCCCGGGCUCAACCUGGGAAUGGCAGUGGAUACUGGCGAGCUAGAGUGUGAUAGAGGAUGGUGGAAUUCCCGGUGUAGCGGUGAAAUGCGUAGAGAUCGUGAGGAACAUCAGUGGCGAAGGCGGCCAUCUGGAUCAACACUGACGCUCAGGCACGAAAGCGUGGGGAGCAAACAGG
rnacentral:rRNA from 1 species